AACAAAGCCACCAUAAGUACACAGGAAAGCAAAUUGCAGCAUAUCUGGAAGAAUAACUAGAUUAAGUUAUUUUGGAUAAAGAGGAGAAAACCAAUUCCUGUAUCAAGUCUCUUCAAACAACACUGAAGUUCCUAAAACUGGGAAUUGCUGCCAGCAAGAGCUGCUCUGAGGGAAAGGCAGUGGCUGUUUACCUGCCCUGUUGAGCCACUCCAGGGAGGACAGGGGGAACAAUUAACUGGUUUGCCUUCCUCACAAUAAGUACUUUCCUGAAACAUGGCUGGAAAGAAAGAAGGAAUCCUAUUGGCAUUCUCAUUGGUGAAAGUCAGAACAUAAGGGUCAGGAUCACAUCCAGUAACAGAACUAAAUCCAGUCCUGUGUCAAGAUGAUGUCAGGGGAUCGCAGAUGCCAAGCACAGGUUUUAAGAUCUGAAGUGAGCUGUUGCUGAUUUCAGUACAUUGAGAUUGGGAC